ACUUCACUCAGCUGGAAGACAGACGCUGAUUGUCAGGGAAGGGGAGGAGAAUGCUGGCCUCCUUUGUGAGUCUGACCUCAUUCCCGCAGAGUCAAUGGGCUUGGGUUGCUCAUCUCUUUUCCACAUCGUGUUUUGGGAAUCAGGGUUAGGCAAGUGGUCAGUUGAAGAGCCAGCAGAAACAUUCCAACCUCACAUCGUUCUUAGAUUCUCUGCUUGUGACUCGAGUUCCUGGAUUUGACCACCUUUUCUUGGAAGAAUUCAAUUUUGAAAACUCACUGAGCACUUGUUGACUGUUGAGGAAUAAUAACAAUGAUAAUUUUUUAAAAAUCAAAGCUCAUGCUCACUGAGCAUGUAAAUGUGCCAGGCCCUGUGCUACACACUAUACAAAUAUGAGGACAUUCAAUCCUCACAAGAAUUCGAUGAGGUCAAAUCAGUUAUGAUCCUCAUCUCUCAGGUCAGGAAAGUGAGGUGACAGGGAUGAGAUCUCUUGCCCAAGAGUCCAGGCAGGGCUCCUCAGUGGUAGAGUCUGGCUUUGUUCCCAGGGUCCUUCUGCAGGGCUGCCUCCUACACCACCAUUCAGUACUCAAGAAACUUGCAGCCUCCUUGUGCUAACUGUUAGUACAAGACCACGUUAAAUAAUUACUAAAUAGGGGUGAAAGCAAUGCAAUGCAGAAGUGCAAGGGGGAAAGAUUUGGUUGUAAGUCAGAGUGUGUGAGAGGAUGGCAGGCCUUCCUGGCAGAGGCACAAGUGAAGAAUGCACAGUGACAUGAGGGUCUGGAGGGGCUCAAUCCGUCUUGGGAAGGGUGGGGUGCAGCAUGCCCACAGUGUGCACUCUAUGGAGCCCAGGGUGGGGAACAGCCUAGAACACAGUUUGUAGCACAGUGGGUAUGAAUCCAAACAAAGGUGGGUGGAUUUUAUUCUGCACACUACAGGUACUACUUUUAAAUUUUAGAGAAGAGUGUCAUGAGACACCUGUGUUACAGGGAGGAAACCUGGAUGUCAGGAGGUGGAUUUAGGUAAGAGAGAUUGGGGCAGGGAAGCCCAUCAGGGUUCCAGGGGAGAGGCGGGCAGGGGCAAGUGGGGACGGAUGGGGAGCAGAGGCAUGGUGCUUCAAGGCCUGGUGACAGUGUGCAUGUACAGAGGGACGAUUGUGAGUUCACAAAGGGCCCUGGUUACUAGCCUGGGUGGCUGAGAGGCUGGUGGAGCCUCUGUCCAGUGGAAGCCCAGGGAAGGAGAGACUCUGGUAACUGCUUUGGAGCUGAGGAUUAUAACCCAAUUAUAGACUUAUUUCUUGUACAUGUGUGAGGCUUCUGCAGGUCACCUGUAUGGAAAUACCCUUGACUGCCCAAUAGGGGCUCAUGGCCCAGGGAGAGAUCAGGGUUGCAGUCCAAGCAUGUAGACAUGCUUUGAAAGCCAUCACAGCUGGUGGAUGGACCCGGAAACCAGUGGAGAAGGGAGGAGAUGAGGAUGAGGCCCAUUGGAGUACCUUCUGGCAGCGAGCAGCAGUGGAGGAUGGGGUGUUGUCUGAGAGAUGCAGCCAGAAGGGGGUGAGUCAAGAAAUGGGAGGAGAGGGCUUCAGGAAAGAGAGAGAACUUUUACCAUUUCCAUUUCAAAAGGCUUUUUUUUUUUUUUUUUUUUUUUUAAGGCAAAUAGCAGAGAGGAAUCAACUAGCGAUGGCAAACAGAAAUACAGCAAUUCUCCAUCAUCUCCCUGCUCCAGUCAGACUGUUCUCACGAUUUAUUUCAGUCAGAUGAAGAUGUGCUUCUGUGUAGCUGGGAGCAGUCAAUUAAAGAGAUUAAAGGCAGAAAGGCUGCUGCAGCAAAAGUCUGCCACUUCCUAGCAGUGUAAAUUUGGGCAAACUCUGGGCAACAUUCCCACUAGAAGAAAAAUCAGGAUGAUCAUACUAACUUCCAAGGGUCGUUAGGAGGAUUAAUGAGAUAAAAGAGCUUGUGGCGCUUACUGCAGGGACACGUACAUUUGUGGACAGGCAUUGGAACAGCACUGGGAUGCCGCUCCACCUGUCUUCACUCACUGACAAGGAAAGUGAUGGGCAUACCUUUGAAAGUAGGAUCACAUCUUCAGCUAGGGCAAAUGAGGCUCAGAAGCAUUAAAUAAUUUGCCCUAAAUCACAGAACUCACAAAAGAGAGAGCUGGGAUCAAGUGCUUGUUGGCACACAUGCUGACAUCGACAUGAAGCUUCUUUGGCAGGAGAAAAGGAAGUAGGUUAACUCGCCUUGCCCAGCCCUCCUAUGUAGAAGAAAGAUCAGACAGAGCCUUUGGUCUAUUCCUUGCCGUUAUCCAGCCAGGCUGUCCUCCCGAUGGCUGCAUCAGCACGAGCGCUCAUGUCAGAGCUGUGAGCAGUUUCCUUGUCGAGGCCAGGUCAUACCUCCUGGAUGACGCUCAGCUUCCAGCUUUCCACCUAGACCUAGUGUAGGCAGGAUGGGCCACAUCUACCUAAAAGCCUCCCAACUUGGUCUCCGUCCUCAUCCUUGCUUUUCCAGCCCACUUGACCCACACAUUCUGGUGAGUGACCAUCUUUCUGCAGAGUGAAUGACAGGCCAUUCUCCUUUCAAAGACCCUCACUGAUUUCCCACCACCUAUCUAUGAAUUCCAGACUCCUUAUUCUGUCUCUCUAGAUGGCCUGUGGGCUGGGUCCAUCUGCUUCCCCAGCCUUCUGUUUGACUGCACCCUGGUACACAUCCGGUGUUCUCAUGAUGCCACAUGACUUAUGAUUUCUCAAUCAAUUCCUCACUUUUCUACUUCACGGUCAUGCCUUUCCUGGACUCUCUCUGCCUCCGUUCUCUGCUUGCAAACUGUCCAUUCAUGUGCUGCUUUCUCGAUGGGAAUGCAGUGUGAGCCCCGAUCCAAUCAACUCGAGCUCCCAGAGCAUGUUCCCCAUCUUCCUCAGUGGUUCUCAUAGGAAGAUGUGCUUGUCACAAUCAUUUGAGGAGUUCCCUUGAACAAUUCCUAACUUUCCUUUCCCUCUCCCAAAAUCACUUUCUAAAGCUCCUCAGUGAUUUGCUACCUCCCUGAGGUGGAAAGAUUGCACACUAUUGCUUCGAUUAUUCAGGAGGGCUCAUUACCUGAAUAUUCAUAAUCCCAGGCAUUAUAAUUAUAGCACUCCACAGAGAAGUAAAAUAUUAUCAAUAAAUUGACCACUUACACAAUUAGCUCCCUUAAUCAUGCCUCCCUGACUAAUACUAUCUUGGUAGUAUCUGCUGGACAACCUAGCUGAUUUUUGGAUGGCAUUUCAAUGCAAAGUGAUUACAAAAUGAAGAUGAAAAGAUGGAGAAUUUCAUGAAAUUGAUUAAACUGAUGCUGGUGAUGCUGGGGAACUCUAAAUCACAAGCAAGAAAAAUGAGUAUCAGUGUAUGAAGACCAGAUAAGUGAAGAAAAAAACUAAAAGUGAUAAUUAAUGUCGUCGUAGCUCCUCCUAGAGAGAAUGAUUUGAAGAGAAUUGAGUAAGAAAUGCUUAUGGAAUAGCUGGUGAAACUUGUGUGUGUGUUUAAAUAACUCUCUUUAUGAGCAUGCUGUGAAAGCCAAAGAGGAAGUGAAAGAUAUUCCACCAUGCCAGUAUAUAAUCUGUUGAUAAGAUGAAGCCCAUACCCUCCAUCAAUGUGUAA